rnacentral:rRNA from 1 species
UACGUAGGUGGCAAGCGUUGUCCGGAAUUAUUGGGCGUAAAGCGCGCGCAGGCGGUCCUUUAAGUCUGAUGUGAAAGCCCACGGCUCAACCGUGGAGGGUCAUUGGAAACUGGGGGACUUGAGUACAGAAGAGGAAAGCGGAAUUCCACGUGUAGCGGUGAAAUGCGUAGAGAUGUGGAGGAACACCAGUGGCGAAGGCGGCUCACUGGCCCGGUACUGACGCUGAGGUGCGAAAGCGUGGGGAGCAAACAGG